rnacentral:rRNA from 1 species
CCCCAGAAAUCCCCGAUUGCGAAGGCAGAUCCACUAACACGUCAUUGACGCUGAUGGACGAAAGCGUUGGGGAGCGAACAGGAUUAGAUACCCUGGUAGUCCACGCCGUAAACGAUGGAUACUAGCUGUUUGGAUUUCGGUCUGAGCGGCUAAGCGAAAGUGAUAAGUAUCCCACCUGGGGAGUACGUUCGCAAGAAUGAAACUCAAAGGAAUUGACGGGGGCCCGCACAAGCGGUGGAGCAUGUGGUUUAAUUCGAUGAUACGCGAGGAACCUUACCAGGGCUUAAAUGUAGUCUGACAGGUCUAGAAAUAGACUUUUCUUCGGACAGAUUACAAGGUGCUGCAUGGUUGUCGUCAGCUCGUGCCGUGAGGUGUCAGGUUAAGUCCUAUAACGAGCGCAACCCCUGCCGUUAGUUACCAGCAUGUUAAGAUGGGGACUCUAGCGGGACUGCCGGUGCAAACCGAGAGGAAGGUGGGGAUGACGUCAAAUCAUCACGGCCCUUACGUCCUGGGCCAC